UCUCAAUUUUGAAGAUCGGAAAUUGAAUGACUCUGCCGAUUUAUCAAGCAUCAAAUACUUGGAGUUUUCCUGUGAUGAGACAAAGUGGGAAGAAUUGAAGGAGAUUCUGAAGCAUCCGACGGCCCUCGAGGGUCUGACCCUCGAAAUAAUGAAAAAUGCUGCACCAGUUGAUGACGUUUUGCUUCAAUGUGGAUCAAACCUCCGCUGGUUGACCUUGAUUGGGAAUGGUCUCCAAAGCGUCGAACUGAACCGCAUUUCUCAACUCUGCCCAAGGCUGAGAGUUCUCGCUGUGACGUCAGUUCAGGUUACUGCAAAAACCUCCCAACAAGCAAACUUCCGCCAUCUAGAAGAAUUAUUUACGGAAGGAUUAAAUCUGUGGACGGAUGGAAGCUUUAGUGCCGUUUUGUCUUCAUCUCCGAAUUUGCGAAAGUUGGAACUGCAAGGAGAGGCAUGCGACCUGGAAGAAUUGCACAAUAUCAAAAAUUUGAUAACCGAAAAGA